CAUGGAGCUUGUGGCGAGCCCAUAAUAAUAUAAUGUUUAGAGGAGAUGUCAUUAACUUGCAAUCCUUAGUGGAUCAAAUUAUUUAUAUCUCCUGGUUUUGGUUUGUUGGUAGAAUAGCUUCUAAGUCUUCUCUUGUAUUUUCAGAUAGGUGUAAAGAUCCAUUAUCUUGCAUUUUUAGCAUCUAAUGGCUUCUUUUAGAAUUGUAAGGGUUAGGUACCCCUUGUACUCCUUAUAAUUCAUUCUUUGCUUAUAAAAA
rnacentral:lncRNA from 1 species